UACGUAGGGGGCAAGCGUUGUCCGGAUUUACUGGGCGUAAAGAGCGCGCAGGCGGUCGUUCAAGUCGCGUGUGAAAGCCCCCGGCUCAACUGGGGAGGGUCACGCGAUACUGAUCGACUCGAAGGCAGGAGAGGGUAGUGGAAUUCCCGGUGUAGUGGUGAAAUGCGUAGAUAUCGGGAGGAACACCAGUGGCGAAGGCGACUACCUGGCCUGUUCUUGACGCUGAGGCGCGAAAGCUGGGGGAGCAAACGGGG
rnacentral:rRNA from 1 species